UGUAAACAACUGUUGACUGGAUUAAAAUUAAUAAAAACAAAAUCCAUGGACUGGAAAUUAAAAGAAGAAUAUGAUAAUUGAUAGAGGGUGGUAUGAAUGAUAAUGUCCGAACCGAGUUAGACGGUAUGGAACGAUCGACAGAGGAACGGAUAUUAACGGAAUGACGAGAGGAGUUAUUCGUCGGAGUUAAACUACCGCUCUUUAUCUGAUCGGAUGACCCCGUAUUCCUACUACCACUGCUUGAUCUGGAGGACAUUCUAGGCGUGACCGGUGUGCCUAUCUUUUUCUUCUUCGGGGUUUCGAAGAGCCCGGUUCUGUUGAUCGACAAUUCCGGUAAACACAACAAGAGAAAAAAACGAUUAACUAAUUAAUUAUCGGAGAUCUAAAGCUGGAAUUUUGGUGAUCAUUCGUGUAAAACAGAAAACAGAUUGAUGCAAGAAGAAGAAAAAAUAGAAGAUAAGAUCUGGGACCUGGUUUGGCUGGUUGACAUCGUAAAAGCUUCCGUAUGGGGAGAGAUCUGGCUGAAUCGAAAAUGAG
rnacentral:lncRNA from 1 species